rnacentral:rRNA from 1 species
GUGAACGCUGGCGGUAGGCCUCACCCCUGCCAGUCGAACGGCAGCACAGUAAGAGCUUGCUCUUACGGGUGGCGAGUGGCGGACGGGUGAGGAAUACAUCGGAAUCUACUUUUUCGUGGGGGAUAACGUAGGGAAACUUACGCUAAUACCGCAUACGACCUACGGGUGAAAGCAGGGGAUCUUCGGACCUUGCGCGAUUGAAUGAGCCGAUGUCGGAUUAGCUAGUUGGCGGGGUAAAGGCCCACCAAGGCGACGAUCCGUAGCUGGUCUGAGAGGAUGAUCAGCCACACUGGAACUGAGACACGGUCCAGACUCCUACGGGAGGCAGCAGUGGGGAAUAUUGGACAAUGGGCGCAAGCCUGAUCCAGCCAUACCGCGUGGGUGAAGAAGGCCUUCGGGUUGUAAAGCCCUUUUGUUGGGAAAGAAAAGCAGCAGGUUAAUACCCCGCUGUUCUGACGGUACCCAAAGAAUAAGCACCGGCUAACUUCGU